rnacentral:rRNA from 1 species
UACGUAGGCAGCGAGCGUUGUUCGGAGUUACUGGGCGUAAAGGGUGUGUAGGCGGUUUUCUAAGUUUGGUGUGAAAUCUCCCCGGCUCAACCGGGAGGGUGCGCCGAAAACUGGGAGACUAGAGUGCGGGAUGGGAGAGUAGAAUUCCUGGUGUAGCGGUGAAAUGCGUAGAUAUCAGGAGGAAUACCGGUGGUGUAGACGGCUCUCUGGACCGCAACUGACGCUGAGACACGAAAGCGUGGGUAGCAAACAGG